UGAGAAUUGACUAAGAAAUUCCAGCCCCAUAUAUGCUUUCAUUCUAUUAAAAAAAAAAUAAUAAUACAUCCAAAAUUUAUCCUGUUGUGAUAAAAAAAAUAUAUAUAUAUCUUCAAAUUAGGAACAAUACAAGGUUGAGUAAAUGAUACCAUAAUGUUCAUCCCUCUACGUCUCCUCAAAUGUUUCUCCUGAGAAAAAGACUCCAAUAAUCUCACAUCAUGUGAGUUUCAGAUCAGAUCUCAGCAUCUCAGUUUGUGCUCUAAUUGGCCAAAACGGCAAAGUCUGCAAUAAAAAACAAAAAACCUCAAAUAUGAACUCUUCUGAAAUGAUGUGAGCUGCUCCACAUUCAUUCACAUUUACAGCUCUAUACUCUUACACAGUCUCACUUGCGUCUGUUUUUAUUUCUCUAAAGGAAUUUUACAAGAAAACCAGAUACUUCAAUGCAACAAACACCUGAGCACUAAAGACAAAGGCACUAGACUGCAUUCACAAAUUUGAUAUAUGAGCAUUUACACCUUUUCAAAGGUUCAUGACUAAAACAUUCAGAAGAGUUAGUUCAAUCCCUGCCAAUCACAGUUCCCCGUCUGUUCCCUCCCUCUAAAUCCUCUCCUUUCAUUUGCUGCUCAUUUCUGUCAUCCUGCCCUGUUCUGUCUGCCCACUGACCAGACGAUUUCAGCCCCAUCCAGGUGAACUGACCGCACUUUGACCCUCCAGGACACACUACAUCAAGCACUCUUACGAGCCAAAAUAUGAGGGGAAAGUUUCAGAUGUCAAGAAUACAGUUCAGAUUUGAUUACUCAGUGAUAUGUGUGACAAAUAUGUCAGCAUUAUUAGAGUAUUAACCAAACAUACCAGCCGUUUUCAAAAUAAAAGCCUGAAAUCUCAAGCAGGACACACAUUCAUACAUGCACACACUCUCAAACCGCGCUCUGGUUUUGGAGUACCUGGCCUCUGCUACUGUGCAGCAGUAACUGCCGCUGCGACGGGUGUCCCUCCGACCCAUGAGCUCAUCCCUGGAACGCCGACGGUUAAAGUAAUCUACAAGAUGGCUUUUUCACUGGAGAAAACAAUACUGAGGCUAGAGGACUAGAGGAUUUUUGUCAGAAUCCAUGGUUUAAAGUUAAUAACGUCUUAAUGAUGGAUUUGUUUCUUACAAACACACAGCUGUCCACUUCAGAAAACAUUAACUGAUGGAUUGGAGUGGUGUGGAUUAUUGUGAUGUUAUUAUCAGCUGUUUGGACUCUCAUUCUGACGGCACCCAUUCACUGCAGAGCAUCCAUUGCUGAGACACUGAUGCAAUGCUACAGUUCUCCAAAUCUGAUGAAGAAACAAACUCAUCUACAUCUUGGAUGACCUGAGAGUGAGCAUUUUCUGCAAAUUUUCAUUUUUGGGUGAACUAUUCUUUUAAAUUGUCCUUAAAGGUUUAAAUAAGACUCCGCCUCCACACCCUCCUACACUAAAUCUACAUAUGGGCUGCAGUGGGCAGGAUGAUGAUGAAUGAGUGGCAGGAGGAGAUGAAGUCACUAUUUUCACCUUAAACCAGCAUCAACUCACGAAACGCUCUGCCUCAUCGUAUGACGCCAAUAAUGUAUCCCUUUAUAGACAUGAUGGGUUUUAAAAUCAAACACUUAUGAGAUGACACUCAGUCUGGGACUGUGAUGCCCUCAGGAAGUGCGUACAUCAUUUCAGCAAAAUUAUACUUCCUGUUAAACAGAAUUAUUUUCACCACUACUCAUCAAUAUUGCAUCAAUACAUUUGAGCUUAAUAUGGCAUCUCGGUAAAGGGACUAUUUACGUAAAUUAAAGAAUUUUUUUUUUUUAAUUAGCCUGUUUUUAUGGAUGCACAUUUUAUGGCAGAUACAGAUGAGCAAUGUUCUUGUUAUGUGUGAUAAUAAACCAAUAUAACGAGCGAUGUUAUAUCGUACA
ensembl:lncRNA